GACCCCAUCGUCUAGCCCGGUUAGGACGCCAGAUUUUCAUUCUGGUAGCGCGGGUUCAAAUCCCGCUGGGGUCGCCA
rnacentral:tRNA from 1 species